AUGUUUUUUGCAUGGAGGUUACCAUUAGGCUUGCACAUAUUAUCUUAUAACCCACUGUUUGAAGCUGAUAACAGAAUUGUUUGCAUAAACAAAGUAGCAAAAGAAAAAAUAACAAAACUCUAUCCUAAAUUCAUCCCGAUUUUUUGCUUUUUGUUGUUACCAUUUAUAUCUUAUUAUACUGUUUAUGUCUUGAAAAGCUGUUGUAGUUAUUAUUGUAGAUUGGUUCAUCAUUUAGUCUUUGUACUUACCAUAAGAGUAGUUUACAUGCCACAGUUACAGUGUUAUAACUGUAUUGUUUUGUUUUGUUUUGCUUAGGAUUGUCUUGGCUAUGCGGGCUCUCUUUUGGUUCCAUAUGAAGUUUAAAGUGGUUUUUUUCCAGUUCUGUGAAGAAUGUCAAUAGUAGCUUGAUGGGGUAGCAUUGAAUGUAUCAACUAUUUUGGGCAGCAUGGCCAUUUUCAUAAUAUUGGUUCUUCUUAACCAUGAGCAUGGAAUGUUUUUCCAUCUGUUUGUGUCCUCUCUGAUUUCCUUGAGCAAUGGUUUGUUGUUCUCUUUCAAGAGGUCCUUUCAUCCCUUGUUAGAUGUAUUCCUAGCUAUUUUACUCUAUAGCAAUUGCGAAUGGGAGUUCACUCAUGAUUUGGCUAUUAUUGGUGUACAGGAAUGCUUGUGACUUUUGCACAUUGAUUGUGUAUUCUUAGACUUUGCUUAAUUUGCUUAUCAACUUAAGGAGAUUGUGGGCUGAGACGAUGGGGUCUUCUAAAUAUACAAUCAUGUUGUCUGCAAAUAGAGACAAUUUGACUUCCUCUUUUCCUAAUUGAAUACCCUUUAUUUCUUGCCUGGUUGCCCUGACCAGAACUUCCAAUAUUAUGUUUAGUAGGAGUGGCGAGAGAGGGCAUCCUUGUCUUGUGCCAGUUUUCAAAGAGAAUGCUUCAGGAACAUAAUACAGUAUGUUAUUAUCUGUGGGUUUGCUGUAAAUAGCUCAUAUUUUGAGAUACGUUCCAUCGAUACCUAGUUUAUUGAGAGUUUUUAGCAUAAAGGGAUGUUGAAUUUUGUUGAAGGCAUUCUCUGCAUCUAUUGAAAUAAUCAUGUAGUUUUUGUCUCAGUUCUGUUUAUGUGAUGGAUUAUAUUUAUAGAUAUGCAUAUGUUGAAACAGCCUUGCACUUCAGGGAUGAAGCUGACUUGAUCAUGACGGUUAAGCUUCUUGAUGUGCUGCUGGAUUUGGUUUGCCAGUAUUUUACUGGAUUUUCCCAUCAAUGUUCAUCAUAGAUAUCAGCCUGAAAAUUUCUUUAGUUGUGUCUCUGCCAGGUUUUGGUAUCAGAAUGACGUUGGUCUCAUAAAAUGAGUUAGGUAAGAUUCCCUCUUUAUGCGUUGUUCGAAGACUGUUUCAGAAGGAAUAGU
rnacentral:lncRNA from 1 species